rnacentral:rRNA from 1 species
UGGGGAAUUUUGGACAAUGGGGGAAACCCUGAUCCAGCCAUCCCGCGUGUGCGAUGAAGGCCUUCGGGUUGUAAAGCACUUUUGGCAGGAAAGAAACGUCAUGGGUUAAUACCCCGUGAAACUGACGGUACCUGCAGAAUAAGCACCGGCUAACUACGUGCCAGCAGCCGCGGUAAUACGUAGGGUGCAAGCGUUAAUCGGAAUUACUGGGCGUAAAGCGUGCGCAGGCGGUUCGGAAAUAAAGAUGUGAAAUCCCAGAGCUCAACUUUGGAACUGCAUUUUUAACUACCGGGCUAGAGUGUGUCAGAGGGAGGUGGAAUUCCGCGUGUAGCAGUGAAAUGCGUAGAUAUGCGGAGGAACACCGAUGGCGAAGGCAGCCUCCUGGGAUAACACUGACGCUCAUGCACGAAAGCGUGGGGAGCAAACAGG